rnacentral:lncRNA from 1 species
AAAUCUCAAAUGUGUGGACGUUGGAGGGUGGGGUAGAGGGCUGAGAACUGUCUGGGCAAAGCAAACUGAGUCAGAAUACAAUGGUGAGACCUUAGAUAUUUCAGACUCCAUUGAAUAGAUUGACUUUUCAUGAACAUUGCUGAUUGGUUUUUACAGAUUCGACAUUUAUUUCCAGAAGAGACCUUUAACUUGAAAGGCUGAUUUUAUGACAAAUUCCGCCUUUCUGAAAAGGAUCAACUUCUCAUUUCGAUCAUGAAGGUAAAGGGAGUGCGGAGGGAAUUUAUAUUCUUGAUUCAAUAUUGUUAUACUGGUUCCCUUUGGAUUACCAGUUUAACUUCGCACAUUAGCACAGUAAAGACCAAAGAACACGAGUUUUCUUCACACCCUGGUUGUCUCCAUUUUCUAGGUCAGCAUCGAUAGUGUCCCAGGAGACAGCAGCAACAGGGUAAAGCAAAUGUCUUGAGGCAAGAUCCUGCAUCCGGGAGCAGGGACCAGCUUCUCUUCAGAAAGGAGCUGUGCACCUGAAAAAUGGAGCCUGAAAACAGAUUUUUCAGGGACAUUAAUGACCUCACAUGGAGAAUUUGAAUUCUCAUGGCAAUGUCUUCCACUCAGGCAGAGGUCAAAGAAGCUUUGAGGAAGCAAGGAGGUUGAGAGCAGAGUUGCACCAGGCCGUUCAGAAAGCACAUCUUGAAGAGAUCUCCUGGCUCUAGAGGAAGUAAG